UGUUUUAAUUAUGUCAGUGUUAUGUCAGUCCAAAACACUACUUCAUAUCCACAUCUCAUCCGUAAAGAAUGCGGCGAUGAAGAAGGAAAAUCAGGAAACAGCGCAUUAUGUUUCUCGUCUGUUGCGAUGAAGUACUAGUUGCCGAGCCCGGAUUAUUUGGCGUAUUAAAGUGUACUCGUCCCUAACUUUAGCUAUUAAUUAUUAUGAGUGCUUAGAGUGGAGAAUCAGGUGUACGUAAAGUUUUAAUUUAUAGAAUAUGCCGUAAUAAAUAAUUAGUGUUCAUUCA